CUCAGGACGAACGCUGGCGGCGUGCUUAACACAUGCAAGUCGAACGAUGAUGGUGGUGCUUGCAUCACCUGGUUAGUGGCGAACGGGUGAGUAACACGUGAGUAACCUGCCCCUCACUUCGGGAUAACCUCGGGAAAUCGUGGCUAAUACCGGAUAUGAACUUCUACCGCAUGGUGGUUGUUGGAAAGAUUUAUCGGUGAGGGAUGGACUCGCGGCCUAUCAGUUUGUUGGUGAGGUAAUGGCUCACCAAGACGAUGACGGGUAGCCGGCCUGAGAGGGCGACCGGCCACACUGGGACUGAGACACGGCCCAGACUCCUACGGGAGGCAGCAGUGGGGAAUAUUGCACAAUGGGCGAAAGCCUGAUGCAGCGACGCCGCGUGAGGGAUGACGGCCUUCGGGUUGUAAACCUCUUUCAGUANGGAAGAAGCGAAAGUGACGGUACCUGCAGAAGAAGCGCCGGCUAACUACGUGCCAGCAGCCGCGG
rnacentral:rRNA from 1 species